CUUUUCAAAAUAAGAAUUUGUUGACACAUUUUUCAUCCUUUAUGAACUGAAUAAAAGCUAACAACUGGGCUUUGCACUAAUGUCAGUGGAUUCAUCCACUUGAAGGGACCUGAUGUUUUCGAAGUAGUCCUUCGGUUGCGCUUUUACAGCUGGAUGUUUUGUUUCCAAGUGUCUCUUCAAUUUGCUUGGAACAAGCGCCUCAUUCAACAGAGCUGAAUUGCAGAUCAGACAGAAUGACAAUGGAGAAUCUUCAGGUCCUGAAGAUAUGAAACCAUAUCCGAUGUAAUCUUCUUUGUACCUUUGUUUGGUUCCAUGCUUUUCAUUGAACGCUUUCGCAGUUUCAUUCUUACCAACGUAUUUCUCCAUGGAUAACAAUGACUAAGGCUUAGUAAUAAUUUGUUAUUAUUAGCAUACACCUACAAAAUUUACAUGAAACACAUCGCUUAUUAUAAUCGUUACCAAUUCAAGAACUGCUGAGCGUCUGCUAAGGCGGCCUACAUUUGAGUCAUUAUAAUAAUAUAUGUAUAGUGGACAACUCCAUAACCUGAAGAGCUAACACCCCUUUCCGUCAUAAUGUAGCGAUCCACUACUAUUACUGGUCGUUGCAAGUUGGGAUGUCGUCACAAGGUAAAAUAAAAAAUUAAUAGUACGCAAACCUGUGUAACGCUGCACGUGUGGCAUUCUGAAAACUCCUCGGCACACCUGCAAAUCUUCGGCGGCACACAGUUUGAGAAACACUGCCCUCGACAAUAAUAAAUAUUGACUAUUCAAUCUGAUUCUACAUUUAUGUCAAACAAUAUUAUGAAUAUAGUAGUCUAGAUAUGCUAACUUAAAUAGUUAGAAUAUAGAUCUAGAAUCUAGUCUAGAUUAGUUAUUAGUAGAUCUAGAUCUAAUCUAGGUCUAACAAUAAAAUUGAUUCGGAAUACCUUGAACUCAUCCUUUGUGAUUGUGUAAGCACUUUCAGUAGAACAAGAUUAUAAGUGAAGAGAUCUGGAUAAGCACGCUGGACUGUCGUUCGGACUUAUCGAUGGUCAGGGGUUCAAACCCUGCCCGCUCCCAUCCCCCGCCGUCCUGCGGGAGGUUUGGACUAGGAAGUAAUUAUCUUCAACUCUGAAGGAACAUCCGAAAUAAGUGGUGAUUUUAUUGUUUACCAUGGAGUUGUCUACUUUUCAAAUUUUACUGACCAAGUUUGUACAGUGACUGAUCCAUCUGCAGUUUCCGAACCAGUAACUGAUAUCUCAAAAAAAUAUUGCUAUACUGAUGGUGUCUGUCACCUCAGGGGAAUUAUGCAUUGAGUGAAGACAUCUUGCUGUAGAAGAGAAGAACAAUUCAGAUAGUUCACAUGAUUUACAAUAUGGCUUUGAUUGUCUUAUGUUAAUGGCUGGUAAAGAACUGAAACAUGUAGGCUGGAGAUCACUUGAUAGAAAUCAAGAAAUCUCUGAUCUACAUUGUAUGAGAAAAUCAUGAAGUGGUUGUUGUCAUUGAUCCAGAAACUAAGUUGCAAUCUGUCUUGAUAAAUAUAUCAUACAGAUUUGAUGGUGGCCUAUUCAACCCGAGGCGGCUUAAAGCAAAAACAAAAACAAAUGCAGCAGUAAUCAGAGACUUGCUAUUUGCUGACGACUGUGCCCUAAAUGCCUGCUCUGAAAACAAUCUGCAGAUCAUCGUCAGUGACUUCUCAAGAGCAUGCUCAGACUUUGGCCUUACCAUCAAUACGAACAAGACUGAAGUCUUAUAUCUACCUGCUCCUGGGAAAGCCUACUCGGAUCCAAGUAUUACUAUAAAUGGACAGGAUAUAAAUGCAGUGGACAAAUUCACAUAUCUUGGCAGCACACUCUCCAGAAAUGGAAAAAUCGAUAGUGAAAUCGACCUGCGUAUCGCCAAGGCCAGUGCAUCCUACGGCAGACUGUCUACAAAUGUCUGGAACAGACGUGGUAUCACCACAAACACCAAGCUAGGGGUCUAUAGAGCCGUCAUCCUCCCUACAUUGCUAUAUGCCUCAGAAACAUGGACAGUGUACAGUAAACAUGCAAAGAAACUAAACCACUUCCACAUGACAUGUCUGAGAAAAAUACUAAAUGUCAAAUAGCAAGACAAAAUACCAGAUACAGAAGUCCUUCGAAGAGCAUGUCUGCAAAGCAUCCACACAAUCCUGAUGCAGUCCCAGCUGCGAUGGGCAGGUCACAUCUACAGAAUGGAAGACCACCGCAUCCCUAAACGACUCCUGUAUGGCCAACUAAGCGAAGGAAAGCGCUCGCAAGGUGGUCAAAGAAAGCGCUUCAGGGACACCCUCAAAGCUUCUCUGAAGGCGUUCAGCAUAGACCCAGGCACCUGGGAGACAGAGGCACAUGACAGAGCAUCAUGGCGUCGCGCUGUGAAAACUGGCGCACAGGUUGCUGGGGAAAAAAGAACAACGCUGGCAGAAGAAAAACGCCAGAAAAGAAAAGCAAGGCCCACGACACUAGCUCCAGCUGGAAUAACCUGCCCAGUGUGCGGCCGAACAUUCCGGGCUCACAUAGGUCUCACCAGCCACAUGAGGAGGCAUAAAACCCCAGUGCAAAGCCCUCAGCCCCCUGGAUGACAAAGUGGUCAUCAUCGAACCACGAUGGACGAACUAUAAGUUGCAAUCUGUCUUGAUGUUUAGUCACUUUGGGAGCAGUGAUCUUGAGAUUUCGAUGCUAGAUACUCUCAGAUUUGAAAGCCGGUAUCUUGGAUAUUUUCUUAGCUCCUCUAGAUCAAGAUGGCAAAGAACUUUAUAAGGAUAGGUCUCCCAUCCAUCACACAACAUUCAAGCACCAAUGGGUUUCUUUCAAGGAGUUGAAGAUAAGGUAGUUCCCCUUAACGAAGCUGAGAUGAGGCAGUUAAAGCAAAAGGACUGCAAUGUUUGUUUCUAGACACAAGAGAAUUCGACAACAUAUGUAUCAGAAGAUCAAAAUCAGAAACUGAAAUCUGCCCAUUUGGAGUGUCACCAGAGAAUGCUGACCAUCUCCUCCAAAACUGCUCUCUUUACCAAGAGGCUGUACAUGACACUGGCUUCAAAACACCCCAAUAGAAAGAAAACUAUAUGGAGAGUUCCCUGAUUUGGAAACUACUGCGAAAAUAAUCUCAUAUACUGGUCCAGUCAUCUGAAUGCUCCAAUAAAAAAAUGAGAAGGAAGAAGAAAGAAGAUUGGAAGCAACAUGGCUAUCAAAAAGCAGAGACGAUACAAACCUCAUUAGAUGAAGAGUUGGUAAAGUCCUUGGUUUUGAGCCAGCAGAGAAACAUAAAAAGGGCCGUACACAUAUAUGUAAAAUACAUGCUAGAUCUAUGAGUGUAGAGAAAGAUAUUCAUUAUGAGCUGCUGGCUAGAUUAUGCCCAAACAGUACAGGAGCGGAAAUUCGUAGUGUUGGCACAGAAGCUGGAAUGUUUGCUAUCAGGGUUCAUAGGAAGAUGGCUACAGAGAAAGAUUUUCUGGAAGCAGUAAAUAAAGUCAUCAAAGCCUACGCCAAAUCUAGUGCAACUCCUUGCUACAUGACUUACAAUGAAAUCAAUUGUAGCUUGAUAGAAAUGUCUACUAGAGAAUCAGUACAGAACUUGUGUUUACUCACUGAUCUGAUUUUAAACUUAAGUGAAUCAUUGUUUGUAUUAAUGAUGUUUUAUUUCAACUUAUUAAAUCAUGGUAUCUUUCUUAUUAAA